rnacentral:rRNA from 1 species
GACGAACGCUGGCGGCGUGCUUAACACAUGCAAGUCGAACGGAAAGGCCCUGCUUUUGUGGGGUGCUCGAGUGGCGAACGGGUGAGUAACACGUGAGUAACCUGCCCUUGACUUUGGGAUAACUUCAGGAAACUGGGGCUAAUACCGGAUAGGAGCUCCUGCUGCAUGGUGGGGGUUGGAAAGUUUCGGCGGUUGGGGAUUGGCUCGCGGCUUAUCAGCUUGUUGGUGGGGUAGUGGCUUACCAAGGCUUUGACGGGUAGCCGGCCUGAGAGGGUGACCGGCCACAUUGGGACUGAGAUACGGCCCAGACUCCUACGGGAGGCAGCAGUGGGGAAUGUUGCACAAUGGGCGGAAGCCUGAUGCAGCAACGCCGCGUGCGGGAUGACGGCCUUCGGGUUGUAAACCGCUUUCGCCUGUGACGAAGCGUGAGUGACGGUAAUGGGUAAAGAAGCACCGGCUAACUACGUG